CUCUGGAGCCCUGAAGAUAAGACACAAGACAUUCAGCCAGCUAGAACUUAGGGAUGUGGGAUCCGAGAGGGUAACAAUCUCUGAGUGGUGGAAACUAGAGAGGGAAGAAGAUGCCAAGUUACCAAGGAUCUUGAAAGCCAUGCGAAGGGGCUGAGUUUAUGUGAGCUAAUCUUCUUUGGGGUUCCCGGGGUGGUACAAACAGUUAAGCACUCGGCAACUAAUGAAAAGAUUGGAGAUGCUAACCCACCCAGGGCUCCUUGGAAGAAAGGCCUGGAGAUCUACUUUUGAGAGGUCGGUCACAGCCUGAAAACACUACGGAGCGCAAUUCUACUCUGAAACACUUGGAGUUGCCAUGAGUAGGAAACAACUCGACAGAAACCGGUAGUCCUCCUUCAUGUAAACCUCAGCAUUAAAAAGUUAUACCCUCCCCCAAAACACAUUUGUGGUCACAGAGGCCCCAAUCACAUCCUUCCUGAGACCGAGUUAGAACAUUCUGUUUUGGGUUGUUGCUAUAAGGCUCCCGGCCGUCUUCCUCCUGUAACUGUCCUCACCCAGGAUGUCUUCAGAUAUUGUGGGGGCAGGAAUCAUGCAACCAUGGCUUUGCAGGGAUGUGGGAGUGAUUAAUUCAUAUUUCUAGUGAUGUCUUUGACCUCCUGCGUAUACAGAAGGAAAAAAAAAGUAUCCAUCCCUUCGAUUGAUCCCCUAUUUUUAUUUUCAUAAAAGGACAUAAAUAGAGCAAAAGACACACCAAGGUGCUGGGGUAACUUACCUGUUUUCAGUUGUUUCCUUCGGGGUUCAUUGUCAAGCAUGCCUGGGAAGGCCAUAAUGUGACAAUUUGGGAAAUUCCAUUUCAAAGCAAUUUUCCCUAAAAUAACAAGGGAACACAAGCCCGAAGAUAAGGGACGCUGACAGGAGCCGUGCCAACUUAGUUACUUGAACUUGGUUUGCAUAAUGUAUUUAACAAAGGACUUUCCUGUAUUUUGAAAUAUUUUCCAGCAACCCCCACUCCCACCCCAUGUGUUCAACUCCACAAGUUUUUCCAGGCUGCUUCUUCACGUCCAUCAAUCCUGACUCCAGUAUUGAAAACCUCAGUGCUUGUCACAGCUGCUGUGGGACCAGUUUGCUUCUUUUGGUGGACAGACAUCUUCCCAUACCUCAAGGACAUGGAUGGAAGGUUGCUUGAGCCACACUUGACCAUGGCCUCACAUGUUCACAUACAAAUAUAUUUUUAUGCACCCAAACGGGAUGCUCACUCCUGGGAUGCUCACAUAGACGAAAAUUUUAAUUAUCGUGGGAUCCAGAAUUUUUGGAACCACAGACAUUGGAAUGACCCACCCAAAACUAUCACCCUGAGACUCAGCAAGAGUGAGAGAGCAGAGAGCACUUCUGUCCAGGGCUGAGUUUCAAGACACAGAAGAGAAAUCAAGAGCCUCGCUAAGCUGGACAAGUGAUGCGGGGUUGGAAACAGGAACAUGUCAAGGAAGAGACCAAACAGGCAGCUCCUGUCCAAAAGCAGGAUGAGAAGGCAGGAAGGGACAGAACUGGUCAAAUGGACACAAGGAACCCAGAGUGGAAAGGGAAAGUGUACUGUCAUAUUGUACGGAUUGCAACCAAUGUCACAAAGCAAUAUAUGCAUACAUUUCUGAAGGAGAAAUUACCUUGAACUGUAAACUUUCACCUAAAGCACAAUUAAAAAAAAAAAAUAUGACCUAAAGCUCUGCUAAGAGUGUGAACGUGGACAUGGGUGUGUGGCUGGCUGCUGGGAGGGAGGCCACAGUGCUGAGUGGCUCCCAGUAGGACCCCCGGGGGCUAGUGAGCUUGCUCCCCGGUUCCUAUUCCUGCUCCCUGCAUCCAGCUGGAUGACUUGCAAAUACUUGCUUUUGGUGACUUCAGGAUCUUGUGAAACAGGUCAACACAGCUCCAGGUUCAUGCUUUCCUUGACAACAAGUGCACGAAACCCUCGUGGGUGAGGAGCAUCCCUUUGUGGGGUUGGCUUAUUCCGUACUGAAAGUUAGGGUAUGAAAAAUUAAAAUGAGUAUGAACAAGCUUGAAACAAAUACGAAUAAGAGCCUAAUCAGUUUCUGCCACCUAUUAGCUAUAGGUUGUUGCUGUUGUUGGGUGUCAUCAAGUCGGUUUCCACUCACAGCGACCCCAUGGGAUGGAACAGAACUGCACCAUACAGUUUUCUAGGCUCUCAUUUUUUACAGGAGCAGAUUCCAGGUCUUUCACAGAGCUGCUGGGUAGGUUCGAAGCAUCAACCUUUCCAUUAGCAGCCAAGCACUUAUGCAUUGCUCCACUAGGGCACCUAUUAACUGUGUAAUAGUGGAGCGUGCCCACAUUGCCCGUCUGUAAAAUGGGACAAGAAGAGUACCACCUCAUAGUGCCAUUACUAGGACGAAAUAUUUUCCUAUUCAUAAAACACUUGGAAGAGUGCCUGGCGCACAGGACAGGCUAUAUUUACUUUUUGAGUAAGCAAAUACAAUUCUGAAGGUUAUAGCCCAGGCGCUUUCCUGCUGCCAGUCACAUGGCAGACCAAGCUCUCAAAAUUCGGAUUUUUACUAUGUGUUAAAUCUCUGGUGCAGUGAACUCAAUAAGAGAAGGACAAGACUGAAUAAACUAACCGUAUAUGAAAAAUUUAAAAAUAAUGAUGAGAGACCCGAACAGAAAAGCCAACGUAUCAAUGUAUUUAGGCUGAUUACAUCAGUUACUGGUAGGAUUAGAUAAAUGGUGUUUACCUGGAGAGCGAGCCCUAUGGAGCACGUGGGAUACAGAGUGCUCAGCAUAAAGGAAGUAUUUUUAGCUGACUCUGCUGUAACGCUGACCGUGGGAACCAGAAUCAAGUAUCCUGACACUGGAUUUCAGAAGUUGCUGGGUGGGGCUGUGGCCAACCCGACCAAAAAAUCCACAGCACUCCAGAGUCUUCUGGUUUUCUUUACUCAGAGCUGGGGGAAAUAACCUUUGGAUUUCCA